AGAGUUUGAUCCUGGCUCAGAACGAACGCUGGCGGCAUGCUUAACACAUGCAAGUCGAACGCGUGGUUUCGGCCACGAGUGGCGCACGGGUGAGUAGCGCGUGGGAACCUGCCCUUUGGUACGGAAUAACUGCGGGAAACUGCGGCUAAUACCGUAUACGCCCCUAGGGGGAAAGAUUUAUCGCCGAAGGAGGGGCCCGC
rnacentral:rRNA from 1 species